UUAUCGGAGAGUUUGAUCCUGGCUCAGGACGAACGCUGGCGGCGUGCCUAAUACAUGCAAGUCGAGCGGACAGAUGGGAGCUUGCUCCCUGAUGUUAGCGGCGGACGGGUGAGUAACACGUGGGUAACCUGCCUGUAAGACUGGGAUAACUCCGGGAAACCGGGGCUAAUACCGGAUGCUUGUUUGAACCGCAUGGUUCAAACAGAAAAGGUGGCUUCGGCUACCACUUACAGAUGGACCCGCGGCGCAGUAGCUAGUUGGUGAGGUCCUGG
rnacentral:rRNA from 1 species